GGGAUUCUUCCGUCCUUUUACGAGGCGGGAUUACCCAAGAACUCUUCUAAUAAGAAUCCCCAGCGCUGGAUAUUCCCCUGGACUUCUGUGGACGAGUGAUAGAUUGCAGUUCUCCACCCGGCCAGCUGCUCUUACUGCUGAGCUUUCUUGCCAUCACCAUCAAUAGAUCAGUGCUCCACUUAUGUAUUGUUCUGUAGCAGUCAUUAUUCCCAGUAUUUAUACCUCACAAGAUUGAAUAACCAGUACACAACUUUCGUUUUUGUUUUAUGUAGUAUGUUUUUAUUUGUAAUUUAAUUGGA
ensembl:lncRNA